GAUGAACGCUGGCGGCGUGCCUAAUACAUGCCAGUCGAGCGAACGGACGAGAAGCUUGCUUCUCUGAUGUUAGCGGCGGACGGGUGAGUAACACGUGGAUAACCUACCUAUAAGACGGGGAUAACUUCGGGAAACAGGAGCUAAUACCGGAUGAUAUUUUGAACCGCAUGGUUCAAAAGUGAAAGACGGUCUUGCUGUCACUUAUAGAUGGAUCCGCGCUGCAUUAGCUAGUUGGUAAGGUAACGGCUUACCAAGGCAACGAUGCAUAGCCGACCUGAGAGGGUGAUCGGCCACACUGGAACUGAGACACGGUCCAGACUCCUACGGGAGGCAGCAGUAGGGAAUCUUCCGCAAUGGGCGAAAGCCUGACGGAGCAACGCCGCGUGAGUGAUGAAGGUCUUCGGAUCGUAAAACUCUGUUAUUAGGGAAGAACAUAUGUGUAAGUAACUGUGCACAUCUUGACGGUACCUAAUCAGAAAGCCACGGCUAACUACGUG
rnacentral:rRNA from 1 species